CCCUUAGAUGUUCUGGGCCGCACGCGCGCUACACUGAUGCAUUCAACGAGUCUAAAACCUGCUCUGAUAGGGGUGGGUAAUCUUUUGAAUGUGCAUCGUGAUUGGGAUAGAUGAUUGCAAUUCUUCAUCUUCAACGAGGAAUGCCUAGUAAACGCAAGUCAUCAGCUUGCAUUGAUUACGUCCCUGCCCUUUGUACACACCGCCCGUCGCUCCUACCGAUUGAAUGAUCCGAUGAAUAUCAUGGAUUGAGGAUGCAAGUAGGUUCGCCUAUCUUCAUCUUCGAGAAGUGAAGUAAAUCUUAUCAUUUAGAGGAAGGAGAAGUCGUAACA
rnacentral:rRNA from 1 species